UGCAAGUCGAACGGACGAGAGGAGCUGCUCCUCAAGUUAGUGGCGGACGGGUGAGGUAACACGUGAGCAACCUGCCCUUCGGAGGGGGACGAACAGCUGGAAACGGCUGCUAAUACCGCAUGAUACAGUCUGGAGGCAUCUCCGGGCUGUCAAAGAUUUUAUCGCCGAAGGAUGGGCUCGCGUCUGAUUAGAUAGUUGGUGGGGUAACGGCUCACCAAGUCGACGAUCAGUAGCCGGACUGAGAGGUUGAACGGCCACAUUGGGACUGAGAUACGGCCCAGACUCCUACGGGAGGCAGCAGUGGGGAAUAUUGGGCAAUGGGGGGCAACCCUGACCCAGCAACGCCGCGUGGAGGAAGAAGGCUUUCGGGUUGUAAACUCCUUUGACGAGGGACGAUAGUGACGGUACCUCGAAAACAAGCCACGGCUAACUACGUGCCAGCAGCGGC
rnacentral:rRNA from 1 species